UGUGGUUCAUGACUGGCGUGAAGUCGUAACAAGGUAGCUGUAGGUGAACCUGCAGAAGGAUCA
rnacentral:rRNA from 1 species